rnacentral:lncRNA from 1 species
AUACAGUCGUCACGAAGCAAUGAGAAUUGAAACCAGAGUAAAUUAAAGAACACUCACUUCAAUUUACCAAUUAGUUAUAAUUAAUCUCAUAAAAGGUUGAAAUUUCUCAAACCCAUUAGUCAACCAAGCCAGUCAAGUGGAAAAAUUAAACCUUUUUAACUUUUUUCCUAAAUUUCGCAACCCAUGAAACACUUUGAUCAAAGAACAACCAUGCAGAUGCAAUGUUCAUUCUUAUAAUAAUGCUCCGUAUUGAACAUAAUUCACUGAUUGACCCUGUAAAAGCAUUUUAAACAAACAAUCUCGGUAACAAUAACAAAGAAUCUAUGUUUAGUUGAGAAAGAGUAUAACAAAUACUUUCACAAACAAUUGAUACUGAAUAUAGGUUUUGAUUAAUCCUAAUCAACUGUUACCUUCUUAUAAAAUAAAAAAAAAAAACAUGGAUGUAUACUUCUCCACAAGUAUAUCAAUCUUUAUUACUUGGCUUCUUCCUUAAACUCGUUCUGUGUUGUUUUAAAAAGAAAAAUCCCAACAAAGACCUUUUGCAAACUUACACAUAAAAUCCCAUUUUUUAAAAUUAUCUUUAUUUCAAAUAGAAACGGAUUUCUUAGCAAUGGUUGAGGUAAAAACAACAGAUUGACCUCAAUCAAGUGUACAUCAUUUCUGCCAAAUAACCGAAAAGGAAAAUAUUAAAAACCUGGUUGUAGCAUUUCAUCGAGUACUAUGAGUGCAUUGUGAAACUUGUUAUCAAAUAUCAACGUAAGUGGGCAUGCAUAACUGAAUCGUGUUGUUGGGGAGCAGUGAUUUGGUAUCUGCAAACAAUAGCAUAAAAGUAAAAACCAAUGACACUAUGAUUAAAAGAAACUCUUAAAACAUAAGUUUUUAUAUACUAUUUAUUUAGGUUCAAAAGUUUAAACUUUAUAGCCACGUUGCUUUAACUCCAACUCUAUAAUUUCUCUUGAAUCACAAGUCUAAAAUACAAAUUAAAAUUGAAACAAUUGAUCUCAUCUGGACAUAAUGAGGUUGUUUAUUAGCGUAUCUAAAAUAACCUCACAUAUUGAACAACCUCUACCACUUGAUCAAUGAAAUCUGUUUGAAAUUAAUUUCAUCAACCCCUAAACCCAAAAUAAGAAAAAGUAAAAACGUAAACAGCCAAAAAGGCAGAAAGAUGAAGGAAAAUCCGUUAUUUGUGCAUUUUGCUCCAUGAAUUGCAAAAUAUAAAUAACUUACUUAAAUGAGGGUAAAUCACAAAGAGCAUCUAAUCUAAUGUAAUACGUAUAGAACUUGAGAGGGGUGACAGUAUCAGGGUGCACUUUGCGUUUGCUUGUGGUAUAGCCAAAAAGAGGAAGCAACAGUUGGUGGCGGCUGGUUGUUUGCUGUCGGUGUCGGAGUUUGCUGAGAAAAAAAGGGGCGCGCCGGUGGAAUUACUUUGCCAUAAAAACUGGGGACCUCACCUGAGACGUCAAUUCGACGAUUUGAUGUCCAUACAUAACAACAGUGGAGGUGAGAAGAGAAGCAGAAGCGGAAUUUCUAAGACAACGGAAGAGUUGUGAAAGGCAGUUGUCGACAGAGUGAUGUAUUGAUUGACGGAUGAUUUACAGAAUUGGAAGGAGAAGGUUAAGAAUCGCCUCGAAGGGAUGCAUAAGAAAAAAAAAAGGUCGAAGCUCUAUCUGAUUGAAUACAAUGGCGGUUGGAACUUGGAAGAGAUACAAUUGAGGGUGAGUAAGCAAGAAAAAAA